GCGGUGGAUGAUGUGGUUAAUUCGAUGCAACGCGAAAACCUUACCCACCUUUGACAUGUACGGAAUCCUUUAGAGAUAGAGGAGUGCUCGAAAGAGAGCCGUAACACAGGUGCUGCAUGGCUGUCGUCAGCUCGUGUCGUGAGAUGUUGGGUUAAGUCCCGCAACGAGCGCAACCCUUGUCAUUAGUUGCUACAUUCAGUUGGGCACUCUAAUGAGACUGCCGGUGACAAACCGGAGGAAGGUGGGGAUGACGUCAAGUCCUCAUGGCCCUUAUAGGUGGGGCUACACACGUCAUACAAUGGAUGGUACAAAGGGUCGCCAACCCGCGAGGGGGAGCCAAUCCCAUAAAGCCAUUCGUAGUCCGGAUCGCAGUCUGCAACUCGACUGCGUGAAGUCGGAAUCGCUAGUAAUCGUGGAUCAGAAUGUCACGGUGAAUACGUUCCCGGGUCUU
rnacentral:rRNA from 1 species